rnacentral:rRNA from 1 species
AUUGAACGCUAGCGGGAUGCUUUACACAUGCAAGUCGAACGGCAGCGCGGACUUCGGUCUGGCGGCGAGUGGCGAACGGGUGAGUAAUGUAUCGGAACGUGCCCAGUAGCGGGGGAUAACUACGCGAAAGCGUAGCUAAUACCGCAUACGCCCUACGGGGGAAAGCAGGGGAUCGUAAGACCUUGCACUAUUGGAGCGGCCGAUAUCGGAUUAGCUAGUUGGUGAGGUAACGGCUCACCAAGGAGACGAUCCGUCGCUGUGUUGAGAGGACAACCAGCCCCACGGGGGCUGAACCACGCCCCCGACCCCUACGGGAGGCAGCAGUGGGGAUUUUUGAACAAUGGGGGCAACCCUGACCCAGCCCUCCCGCGGGGGCGUUGAAGGCCUUCGGGUUGUAAAGCACUUUUGGGAGGAAAAAAACGGCGCGGGCUAAAACCCCGUGGAACUGACGGGACCUGGAGAAGAAGCCCCGGCGAACUACGG